GGUGAUAUAGUUAAAUAAUAACAUUAAAUUGCAAAUUUAAUAUUGUACCAAAAAUACUGCCACCU
rnacentral:tRNA from 1 species